UACGGAGGGGGCUAGCGUUGUUCGGAAUUACUGGGUGUAAAGCGCGUGUAGGCUGCUCCGAAAGUCAGGUGUGAAAGCCCCGGGCUCAACCUGGGAAGUGCACUUGAAACCUCGGAGCUUGAAUGUCGGAGAGGGCAGCGGAAUUCUCGGUGUAGAGGUGAAAUUCGUAGAUAUCGAGAGGAACACCUGUGGCGAAGGCGGCUGCCUGGACGACGAUUGACGCUGAGGCACGAAAGCCAGGGGAGCGAACGGG
rnacentral:rRNA from 1 species